AACGAACGCUGGCGGCAUGCCUAACACAUGCAAGUCGAACGAGACCUUCGGGUCUAGUGGCGCACGGGUGCGUAACGCGUGGGAAUCUGCCCUUAGGUACGGGAUAACACAGGGAAACUUGUGCUAAUACCGUAUGAUGACGAAAGUCCAAAGAUUUAUCGCCUAAGGAUGAGCCCGCGUAGGAUUAGCUUGUUGGUGAGGUAAAGGCUCACCAAGGCGACGAUCCUUAGCUGGUCUGAGAGGAUGAUCAGCCACACUGGGACUGAGACACGGCCCAGACUCCUACGGGAGGCAGCAGUGGGGAAUAUUGGACAAUGGGCGAAAGCCUGAUCCAGCAAUGCCGCGUGAGUGAUGAAGGCCCUAGGGUUGUAAAGCUCUUUUACCCGGGAAGAUAAUGACUGUACCGGGAGAAUAAGCCCCGGCUAACUCCGUGCCAGCAGCCGCGGUAAUACGGAGGGGGCUAGCGUUGUUCGGAAUUACUGGGCGUAAAGCGCACGUAGGCGGCUUUGUAAGUUAGAGGUGAAAGCCCGGGGCUCAACCCCGGAAUUGCCUUUAAGACUGCAUCGCUUGAACGUCGGAGAGGUGAGUGGAAUUCCGAGUGUAGAGGUGAAAUUCGUAGAUAUUCGGAAGAACACCAGUGGCGAAGGCGGCUCACUGGACGACUGUUGACGCUGAGGUGCGAAAGCGUGGUGAGCAAACAGGAUUAGAUACCCUGGUAGUCCACGCCGUAAACGAUGAUAACUAGCUGUCUGGGCUCUUGGAGCUUAGUGGCGCAGCUAACGCAUUAAGUUAUCCGCCUGGGAGUACGGCGCAGGUUAAA
rnacentral:rRNA from 1 species